CACCCGGGGAGGGGCGGGUACGAGCACCGGAACGACUGCACUUACAAGAUGGGGAUGGUCAUUUCUUGUGUGACCGCGUACUUUUUGUAGAACGGGCCAACGAGUUACGUUAAGGAGCAAGGUUAAGCACUUAAGGUGCGGAGCCGUAGCGAAAGCGAGUUUUAACUGAGCGUUCAGUUACUGGACGUAGACCCGAAACCGGGCGACCUACCCAUGAGCAGGAUGAAGCGAAAGUAAAAU
rnacentral:rRNA from 1 species